AUUUGUGGGAAGUCUGUUGAGAGGGAACCAUUUCCAAGAUGUAUGGGGAAGAAUUUCCUGAGCUGAUGUGAGAGUGUCAUUCCACAGGGCCAUCAGACAGGAGCCGAGCCCCUCUGCCGGCAGGGAAACGGUCUCUUAUGGAAACUGGGAAUCAUAUGAAGAAGAAUCCUAACCUCAAAGGGUCGUGGUGAGAAUCAAAUAAGAGGAUGUGCUUAGCACACAGGUGUCCAAGCAGCGAGAGCUCCAGCAUCCUGACCCCACAGCCUUUGUGGUUAACCACUGCUCACUGCUUUCCACUUGCUAGGAUGCCCCAGAAUAUUUGAAUCAGAGCCUCCAAAUGGAAAACGGACAGUGGAAGACUUCUGUACAAGUCCCCAGAAACCAGGCUGAGGAAGAGGGAGAAUCCGAAGCUGACUUCAGGGUUUUGAGCUUGGCUCACUGGGGUGAUGAAGUUGCCAGUAACAACAUGGAAAUAGCAAGAAGCAGGUUCAAGGGGAUGUAUUAUCUUCAUCCUGGAACGUUGGAUUACCGAGAUGCAAGUGGGCUAUCUGGGUGGAUUUUCUGGCAGGUGUUGGACUUCCAGAAAAUGAUUCUUCAAAGCUACACGAGGACUAAGAGUGUGGGAAAUAAUUGAUCCCAUCUGGGCAAAUUCAAGUGUUUUCCUGGGUGAAGACUUCUGGGGGCAGAGAGCAAACUAGAAAACAGAAAACAGAAGUGGGUACUCAUGGGUUUGUGGUCACGGCAUUCAGUUUUCUUGCCUGCAGAGUGGGUGCCUUGCUUUGUUCUUCCCAAGCUGUUGUUGAGGCUGCAUUAGGUCAGGAAUGGGAAAUUGCCCUGUAGAUUGUGCCCUGAGCUGUGGCGAGAGGCAGCAGACAGUAGCGUCAACCCCAGUCUCCCAAAUGCUGAGCAGGACAGGAGAGGUACAAGUGAAGUGCCCCCUGUCUCUGUGUCAUAGCUGAGAAAUUAAUAAUUGUUCCCUCUUCUGGUUUGAACUGGCCUUUUGAAUAGGCUCUAAAUUUGUUCAUAAUUGCCAAAGGAACGACACAAUAAAAACUGGAAUUUC
rnacentral:lncRNA from 1 species